rnacentral:rRNA from 1 species
GACGUAGGGUGCAAGCGUUGUCCGGAUUUAUUGGGCGUAAAGAGCUCGUAGGCGGUUUGUCGCGUCUGCCGUGAAAGUCCGGGGCUCAACUCCGGAUCUGCGGUGGGUACGGGCAGACUAGAGUGAUGUAGGGGAGACUGGAAUUCCUGGUGUAGCGGUGAAAUGCGCAGAUAUCAGGAGGAACACCGAUGGCGAAGGCAGGUCUUUGGGCAUUAACUGACGCUGAGGAGCGAAAGCAUGGGGAGCGAACAGG